rnacentral:ncRNA from 1 species
CUAUCCGGUGCCUGCCGGAGUGUGAGAUUAAAAGGGAAUGCCGUGUGAAUCGGCAACAGUUCCCGCUGCUGUGAAUCCUUGCUUUCAUUAUGGAAGUAAAUGCUUACAGGACUACGCCACUGUUCUAAUAGGAGGAAUGGGAAGGCCCUGUGGGGGGAUGAGUCAGAAGACCUGCCAUUGUGUU